UUUCGUGGUUGGCGGAGCUUCGUGGUGAGCGCAGUUUAGAGGUUGGUUUGUAGAUUUUUCGUGGUCGGCGGAGCUGCUUUCCCUUCAUUUGACUGCAUCGGCGGCCCCGUUGUCUCGGCGGUUUGGCCCGUUGUCUGUGCACCGAACCCGACUUGCUUUUCGGAACUCCAAGUUGCUUAUGUGCUCGCAUUGCGCUCCUCUUGCCCUCCGGGCGAAGGGGAUGCACGCUUAGGCCUUCCUCGUCGGCCCUCGAACGGUGGCCUGCCAAAGCUGCCCGUGUCGAUCGGUCGUCGAGGACGCGCCAGAGCUUUUGGAUGCUGUGGAUGAAGAGGGUGCGGGGCUUGGUCUCCUUACCCCUUCUCGGUUGCGAUUCGGCAUUCUUUGUCGCUCUCAGAUGGCUGACGGUUUUGCUUGUGGAAGGCGCCCCUGUUGCCUCGACCCCGUGCUGGGGUGCGGUCUCGGGAGGCGUCUUGCAGUGCGGACGUCGCAUAGGAUGUGUUACCUGGUUGAUCCUGCCAGUAGUCAUAUGCUUGUCUC
rnacentral:misc_RNA from 1 species